UCCGGUUUAUCACCGGCAGUCUCCAUAGAGUUCUCGGCAUGACCCGUUAGUAACUAUGGACAAGGGUUGCGCUCGUUGCGGGACUUAACCCAACAUCUCACGACACGAGCUGACGACAGCCAUGCAGCACCUCUCCAGCGAUCCCCGAAGGGAGGGACUCAUCUCUGAGCCUUGCCACUGAAGUUCAAACCCAGGUAAGGUUCUUCGCGUUGCUUCGAAUUAAACCACAUACUCCACCGCUUGUGCGGGCCCCCGUCAAUUCCUUUGAGUUUCAGUCUUGCGACCGUACUCCCCAGGCGGCGAACUUAACGCGUUAGCUUCGACACUGAGCACCUAAGUGUGCCCAACAUCCAGUUCGCAUCGUUUAGGGCGUGGACUAC
rnacentral:misc_RNA from 1 species